UACGAAGGGGCUAGCGUUGCUCGGAAUCACUGGCGUAAAGCGCACGUAGGCGGAUUGCUAAGUCAGGGUGAAAUCCUGGAGCUCAACUCCAGAACUGCCUUUGAUACUGGCGACCUUGAGUCCGGGAGAGGUGAGUGGAACUGCGAGUGUAGAGGUGAAAUUCGUAGAUAUUCGCAAGAACACCAGUGGCGAAGGCGGCUCACUGGCCCGGUACUGACGCUGAGGUGCGAAAGCGU
rnacentral:rRNA from 1 species